UUCAACGAUUAAGUUUAUUGGGUCGUCUAAAUUCAAUAUGAAUUUUAUUUUUAUUUUCGUUUUAGUGUGCAUUGUCGUUGUGCAUGGAACCGAGCAGCCUGAGCUAGCUGAACGGACAUUUGGUCAUCUUGGCGGUCUUGGUGGUCUUGGUGGUUUCCAUGGUCAUGGUUUACACCAUCAUCAUCAUGGUCAUGGUUUAGGUGGACCCUUUUUACAACCUGGUAUCCCAUAUGGUCGCUAAAUGAAUCGAGAAGGAAUUAUACACUAGAGUUAUUACUAAUGCAGUUCUUAUUGUCCUUCGAAAAAAUUCUUUAUUAAUUAUUUCAUCAUAUUUGUGUGUAUACUAUAAAUUAAGCUGGAUAUAUUUAACUUUUUGAUUCAAACUGUGGUAGUUUUGCAAAACGCCUCAAAUUUUACUUAUUCAAAAGUUGCUUGAAACUGCGAUUCGAAAGCUAAAUAGCCCCAAGAGAAGUAAUUUAACUAAUAGGUCCAGUUUUUUUCUGUGGUUGCACCUAUGAAGUUGUUACUGCGUUAACAAUGAAGAAUCUCUUACUUGUUUCAAUGUAAAUACUGAAUUUCUCAGAAAAGCCACAACAAGCCACCUCGAUUGUUUUAACGAAAAGAGAAAAACAAGAAUAAUCUUGUUUGUGUCAUGAAAUUCGGCGAAAAUAGUUGAAUAAAUAAUACAAUAUAAUUUUAUUUACAUCAAUUCAAAGAUGAUUUCAACUUGAUAAAAUAAAUAUUUUUUCAAUUCAAAUGAGAGA